rnacentral:ncRNA from 1 species
AACAAUUGAUUGAAGGGAAGAGUAAAUAUUGAUUAGUAUCCUAAGCGAGUAGAGGAUGGUGAGAGCUCUAUGAGAAGUUUAAUAUUGAAAGACAUCCUGGACAUAUUUAUCUGAAAAUUAAAAAGUAGGAUAAAUCGGGUUACUCCGUUAAAUAGUAGUAGAGAUAACUUAGUUAAUUAUUACUUAGUUAAAUUAGGAUGGUACCGUGAAUAUUACUUUCACUCCUAUA